rnacentral:rRNA from 1 species
GACGAACGCUGGCGGCGUGCCUAAUACAUGCAAGUCGAGCGAACCAAUAAGAAGCUUGCUUUUUGUUGGUUAGCGGCGGACGGGUGAGUAACACGUGGGUAACCUGCCUGUAAGACCGGGAUAACUCCGGGAAACCGGUGCUAAUACCGGAUAGAUUAUCUUUCCGCCUGGAGAGAUAAGGAAAGAUGGCUUUUGCCAUCACUUACAGAUGGGCCCGCGGCGCAUUAGCUAGUUGGUGAGGUAACGGCUCACCAAGGCGACGAUGCGUAGCCGACCUGAGAGGGUGAUCGGCCACACUGGGACUGAGACACGGCCCAG